rnacentral:lncRNA from 1 species
GAAAAGGUCUCCAAGUCCCCACCGGUCCGAGAAGCCCAGCUGGCUUCAUCCUUCAGUGGCACUCGCCUAGGGACUUUGCAGCACCUAGCCUGGGCAGUCCGGCAGCCCAGAGGGAGCUGGUCCCCUAAUCAAGCCCAGCAGGCGCCCGCCGGCCGGCGGCGCUGAGUGCCGGCCCGCGGGGCCGCGGAACCCUGGCCCACCCAGAACCUGCGCAGAGCCACAAGGGCCGUGCACAGCCCCGGCUCCCGCCCGCGCCUCCCACUCCACACCCCCCCCGCCAGCAGAGGGAGCCGGCUCCAGCCUCGGCCAGCCCCAGAGAGGGGGCCCCCACGGAGCAGCAGGGGGCCCCCACGGAGCAGCAGCGGGCCAAAGGGCUCCUCAAGCCGGCCAGAGCAGACGCCAAGGCCGAGGAAGCGCCCAGAGUGAGCAAGGGCUGCUAGCACGUUGUCAUCUCUCAAUGUCUCAGCAAACUAACACAGGAACAGAAAACCAAACACCGUAUGUUGUCACUCAUAAGUGGGAGUUGACGAUGGAGUCUGGCUCUGUCGCCCAGGCUCGAGGGCUCCAGUACAGUGGUGCAAUCUCAGCUCACUGUAAUAACUGCCUUCCGGGUUCAAGCGAUUCACCUGCCUCAGCCUCCCCAGUAGCUGAUAUCACAGUGCAGGCUUUGGACUAUCUGGUAAUAUCUUGACCUCUGGAGGGGAUGGGGACAAAGGCUGGUCAUGCGGGAAGUCUACCAAAAUUUGUGACUGAUCAUCAAUAGAAGCUCUGGACACCAAGGCCUGGAUGAUCUUCAUUAGUUGGUAGUAUUCCAUGGGUGUCAUCACACAUCAAUGAGAAAAGAAAAAUCAUUGUUUUGCAUAACUUCACUGGGAGAAACUAGAAGUUGUCCUCCACCGAGAAGACCACCAGAAGCUCAUGCUCGAAAACCUCUUGGGUCCCACCCUGUGCACUCUCUCCUUGAAUGAUUUUAAUUGGUAUCCUUUCACUAUAAUAAACUGUCACCAUGAGUCUGA